rnacentral:rRNA from 1 species
CAGCAGCCGCGGUAAUACGUAGGUGGCAAGCGUUGUCCGGAAUUAUUGGGCGUAAAGGGCUCGCAGGCGGUUUCUUAAGUCUGAUGUGAAAGCCCCCGGCUCAACCGGGGAGGGUCAUUGGAAACUGGGAAACUUGAGUGCGGAAGAGGAGAGUGGAAUUCCACGUGUAGCGGUGAAAUGCGUAGAGAUGUGGAGGAACACCAGUGGCGAAGGCGACUCUCUGGUCUGUAACUGACGCUGAGGAGCGAAAGCGUGGGGAGCGAACAGGAUUAGAUACCCCGGUAGUCCCUGUCUCUUAUAC